rnacentral:rRNA from 1 species
AUACGAACUGUGCGAACGUUAUUCGGAAUCACUGGGCUUAAAGGGUGCGUAGGCGGCGGCACAAGUCAGGUGUGAAAUCCCCCGGCUCAACCGGGGAACAGCGCUUGAAACUAGGUCGCUCGAGUGAGGCAGGGGUGCAUGGAACUUCCGGUGGAGCGGUGAAAUGUGUAGAUAUCGGAAGGAACGCCGGCGGCGAAAGCGGUGCACUGGGCCUUGGCUGACGCUGAGGCACGAAAGCGAGGGGAGUUAACGGGAUUAGAUACCCCGGUAAUCCUAGCCGUAAACACUGAGCACUGGAGGGGAGGGGCUUCGGCCUUUUCCCUCGCAGCGAAAGCGUUAAGUGCUCCGCCUGGGGAGUAUGGUCGCAAGGCUGAA